rnacentral:rRNA from 1 species
CCUACGGGGGGCAGCAGUGAGGAAUAUUGGUCAAUGGCCGGAAGGCUGAACCAGCCAUGCCGCGUGAAGGGCAGGGCCCUAUGGGCGUUAAACUUCUUUUGUGCGGGAGCAAGAAUGGUCACGUGGGGCCAGACGAGAGGACCGUACGAAUAAGCAGCGGCGAACUCCGUGCCAGCAGCCGCGGUAAGACGGGGGAGGCAAGCGUUAGCCGGAGUUCGGGGGUUUAAAGGGGGCGGAGGCUGUGAGGUAAGUCAGCGGGGAAAUGCCCACGCUCCACGGGGUGAAGUGCCCUUGAUACUGCCUUGCUGGACUGCGGAUGCCGUGGGAGGAAUGUGUGUUGUAGCGGU